rnacentral:lncRNA from 1 species
GUGUUUUUGUUGAAUGGGAUUGUGACUUAGAUGAAGUACCUUCAAAGUGCAUUCCAGCCUAUAAAAUAAAAAGACUUGACAAUCCAAAUGAUAGAUUAGCUUCUGGUUUUAAUUACAGAGUUGCUAACUAUUCUUUUGUAAAUAAUAAACAGUACCGAACACUUACCAAAACAUAUGGGUUAAAAUUUCACAUAAUAGUAACUGGAAAGGGAAGGAAAAAGGAUUUCUAUACGACAAUUGUCUUUUUAGGAGCUACUUUAGCUCUGCUCAGUAAGGUGGCUGUUUUUUUUGAAUGGAUCGUUCUUUUUGUUUGCUCAUG